GACGAACGCUGGCGGCGUGCUUAACACAUGCAAGUCGAACGGAAAGGCCCUGCUUUUGUGGGGUGCUCGUGUGGCGAACGGGUGAGUAACACGUGAGUAACCUGUCCCUGACUUUGGGAUAACUCCAGGAAAAUGGGGCUCAUACCGGAUAGGAGCUCCUGCUGCAUGGUGGGGGUUGGAAAGUUUCGGUGGUUGGGGGUGGACUGGAGGCGUAUCCGCUUGUUGAUGGGGUAGUGGCUUACCAAGGUUUCGAAGGGUAGCAGGCCUGAGCGGGUGACAGGCCACAUUGGGACUGAGAUGCGGCACAGACUCGUACGGGAGGGAGCAGGGGGGAAUAUUGCACGAGGAGCGGAGGGCUGAUGCUGCAACGCCGCGUGCGGGAAAACGGCCUUCGGAUGGUAGACCACUUUCGCCUGUGACGGAGCGUAAGUGACGGUAAUGGGUAAAGAAGCACCGGCUAACUACGUG
rnacentral:rRNA from 1 species